rnacentral:rRNA from 1 species
UACGUAGGGGGCUAGCGUUGUCCGGAAUCAUUGGGCGUAAAGCGCGUGUAGGCGGCCCGGUAAGUCCGCUGUGAAAGUCGGGGGCUCAACCUCGGGCCUGCAGUCGAUACGGGCAAACUAGAGUACUGCAGGGGAGACUGGAAUUCCUGGUGUAGCGGUGAAAUGCGCAGAUAUCAGGAGGAACACCGGUGGCGAAGGCGGGUCUCUGGGCAGUAACUGACGCUGAGGAGCGAAAGCGUGGGGAGCGAACAGG